GAAAUGCGAUAAGUAGUGUGAAUUGCAGAAUUCAGUGAAUCAUCGAAUCUUUGAACGCACAUUGCGCCCUAUGGUAUUCCGUAGGGCAUGCCUGUUCGAGCGUCAUUUACACCUUCAAGCCUUGCUUGGUGUUGGGUGACUGUGGCCCCUUUGGGGCCACUCGCCUUAAAGUCAUUGGCGGCCGGUUCGUUGGCUUUGUAGCGCAGCACAAUUGCGUCCUCGAAGCCGCUGGACCAGCUCCCAGAAGCUAAUUUUAAAUGUUUGACCUCGCAUCAGGUAGGGAUACCCGCUGAACUUCAGC
rnacentral:misc_RNA from 1 species